rnacentral:lncRNA from 1 species
AUUCCUUCCUCAAAAUGGCCCCAGGACAUAGAGUGUGCUGAUAUUCCCCCCAUUUUACAGAUAAGGAAACUGAGGUUCAGAGUGGCAGUUUGGUGCUACAGAAAGAAUGCUGGAUUUGAAAACAAGAGUGCUGGGGUUUGGAUCCUGGUUCUGCCACUUACUACCUGUGUGACCUUGGACUAGUCACAUCAUCUCUGUGGGACUCAGUUUCCUCAUCUGUAAAAUGAAGAAGUUGGACUAUAUAACAUCUAAGAUCCCUUCCAGCUCUAGGUCUAUGACUUACCUGUGGCUUACCCAGAGUGCCACAGCUAGUAGAUGUUAGAAUCUAGGACCAACAUUGUUCUUUCCCCCAAGUUAUCCCAAUCCACUAAGCCCAAUCCACUAAGCCUUCUCCAUUCCCCUCCCCACAUAUACAGUCUCUCUCUCACCAACCCUUUCUUUCUUUCUUUCUUUCUUUCUUUCUUUCUUUCUUUCUUUCUUUCUUUCUUUCUUUCUUUCUUUCUUUCUUUCUUUCUUUCUUUCUUUCUUUCUUUCUUUCUUUCUUUCUUUCUUUCUUUCUUUCUUUCUUUCUUUCUUUCUUUCUUUCUUUCUUUCAACAGGUUUAAGUGACUUGCCCAGAGUCACACAGUUAGUAAGCAACUGAAGCUAGAUUUGAACUCUGAUCUUCUUGACUCCAAGCCCAACACUCUAUCUACUGUGCCACCUAGCUGCUCCUCUCCCGUUGGAAUAUAUUGAGGGAAGAUAUUAGUUGGGGAUUUUUCUUUGUUGAUCCAGGGCUUAAGAGAGCUUGGCCCUAAGUAAACCCUUAACACAAGCUGGAGGUAACUUGAUUGGCAACAUCUCUGAGCCCUCAGUUUCCCUAUCUGUAAAUUAAGGAUGUUGGAUUGAACAACCUCUGAGGUACUUUGUAGCUUCAGAACUACGGUCUAUAUUCCUAUGUCUGUCCCCCUCCAGCACUUUCAUAUAGAGGAUCUGGGUGGGUGUCAGGAGGAAGAGGAGGAGAAUAAGUAAGUCACAUUUCUAUAGUGCUCUAAGGUUGCAAAAUGCUUCACAGAGAUCUCAUUUGACCCUCACAAAAAUCCUGUGAGAGAGGUACAAUUAAUAUCCCCAUUUUAAAAAAUAACCUUUACCUUCUGUCUUCAAAUCAAUUGGUUCCAAGGCAGAAGAGUGGUAAGGGCUGGGCAAUGGAGGUUAAGUGACUUGCCCAGGGUCACCCAGCUAGGAAGUGUCUGAGGCCAGAUUUGAACCCAGGACCUCCUGUCUCUAGACCUGGCUCUCAAUCCACUGAGCCACCCAACUGCCUCCAGUAUCCCCAUUUUAUAGAGGAAGAAACUAAGGCAGACAGAACGGUUAGCAGUUUGCCCAGGGCCACACAGCUAGUGAGUGUCUGAGGCUGGAUUCAAACAAUUGAAGACUGGAGCCAGGAAGACCUAAAAUAACUAUGCAAUUCCUGUUAUGUGAGGGAUGGGACUUAAUGGCCCCUGAGGACCCAUCCAUCUCUCCAUCUAUGACCCUAUGAGUCCAUAUACUUUUAGAAAGAGGUGUAAUGUUGCUACAGGUAGACAGGAAGCAUCUUGCCCCCAUGUCCUCCUUCCUCCCCCCCAGAAGU